rnacentral:tRNA from 1 species
UGUUUGGUGGCUGAGUUUAAAGCGGUAGACUGUAGAUCUAUUAACGGAAUUAGGUUUCCCCAACAA